UACGGAGGGUGCGAGCGUUGUCCGGAAUCAUUGGGCGUAAAGGGCGCGUAGGUGGCCCGGUCAGUCUUUGGUGAAAGCGCGGGGCUCAACUCCGAGUCGGCCGUGCGAACUGGGCUCACUGGAGCAUAGUAGAGGCAGGUGGAAUUCCGGGUGUAGCGGUGGAAUGCGUAGAGAUCCGGAAGAACACCGGUGGCGAAGGCGGCCUGCUGGGCUAUGGCUGACACUGAGGCGCGACAGCGUGGGGAGCAAACAGG
rnacentral:rRNA from 1 species